rnacentral:rRNA from 1 species
UACGUAGGUGACCAGCGUUGUCCGGAUUUACUGGGCGUAAAGAGCGCGCAGGCGGUCGUUCAAGUCGAGUGUGAAAGCCCCCGGCUCAACUGGGGAGGGUCAUUCGAUACUGAUCGACUCGAAGGCAGGAGAGGGAAGCGGAAUUCCCGGUGUAGUGGUGAAAUGCGUAGAUAUCGGGAGGAACACCAGUGGCGAAGGCGGCUUCCUGGCCUGUUCUUGACGCUGAGGCGCGAAAGCUAGGGGAGCGAACGGG